CCUACGGGAGGCAGCAGUGAGGAAUAUUGGUCAAUGGACGAGAGUCUGAACCAGCCAAGUAGCGUGAAGGAUGACUGCCCUAUGGGUUGUAAACUUCUUUUAUAUGGGAAUAAAAUGUUCCACGUGUGGGAUUUUGUAUGUACCAUAUGAAUAAGGAUCGGCUAACUCCGUGCCAGCAGCCGCGGUAAUACGGAGGAUCCGAGCGUUAUCCGGAUUUAUUGGGUGUAAAGGGAGCGUAGGUGGAUUGGUAAGUCAGUUGUGAAAGUUUGCGGCUCAACCGUAAAAUUGCAGUUGAAACUGGCAGUCUUGAGUACAGUAGAGGUGGGCGGAAUUCGUGGUGUAGCGGUGAAAUGCUUAGAUAUCACGAAGAACUCCGAUUGCGAAGGCAGUUCACUGGACUGCAACUGACACUGAGGCUCGAAAGUGUGGGUAUCAAACAGGAUUAGAUACCCUAGUAGUC
rnacentral:rRNA from 1 species